rnacentral:rRNA from 1 species
UACGAAGGGGGCUAGCGUUGCUCGGAAUCACUGGGCGUAAAGCGCACGUAGGCGGACUCUUAAGUCGGUGGUGAAAUCCUGGAGCUCAACUCCAGAACUGCCUUCGAUACUGAGAGUCUCGAGUCCGGGAGAGGUGAGUGGAACUGCGAGUGUAGAGGUGAAAUUCGUAGAUAUUCGCAAGAACACCAGUGGCGAAGGCGGCUCACUGGACCGGAACUGACGCUGAGGCGCGAAAGCGUGGGGAGCAAACGGG